rnacentral:rRNA from 1 species
AUUGAACGCUGGCGGCAGGCCUAACACAUGCAAGUCGAACGAGUGGCGGACGGGUGAGUAAUGUCUGGGAAACUGCCCGAGGGAGGGGGAUAACUACUGGAAACGGUAGCUAAUACCGCAUACCAUCGGAUGUGCCCAGAUGGGAGUAGCUAGUUGGGGGGGUAACGGCUAACCUGGGCGACGAUCCCGAGCUGGUCUGAGAGGAGGACCAGCCACACUGGAACUUAGACAAGGUCCAGACUCAUACGGGAGGCAGCAGUGGGGAAUAUUGCACAAUGGGCGCAAGCCGGAUGCAGCCAUGCCGCGUGUAUGAAGAAGUCCUUCGGGUUGUAAAGUACUUUCAGCGAGGAGGCGUUACUCGCAGAAGAAGCACCGGCUAACUCCGUGCCAGCAGCCGCGGUAAUAC